UACGCCCUACGGGAACAGCAGUGGGGAAUAUUGCACAAUGGGGGGAACCCUGAUGCAGCGACGCCGCGUGAGUGAAGAAGUAUUUCGGUACGUAAAGCUCUAUCAGCAGGGAAGAAAAAAGGACGGUACCUGAGUAAGAAGCCCCGGCUAACUACGUGCCAGCAGCCGCGGUAAUACGUAGGGGGCAAGCGUUAUCCGGAAUUACUGGGUGUAAAGGGAGCGUAGACGGCAAUGCAAGUCCGGAGUGGAAUGCGGCAGCUCAACUGCCGAACUGCUCUGGAAACUGUAUGGCUUGAGUGCAGGAG
rnacentral:rRNA from 1 species